AGGGCCCCCUGGAACUGGUGGUCU
rnacentral:siRNA from 1 species